rnacentral:rRNA from 1 species
GCUACCCCAGGACGGGUGAGACCACCUGCCGAGUUUAAGCAUAUCAAUAAGCGGAGGA